rnacentral:rRNA from 1 species
AUUGAACGCUGGCGGCAUGCCUUACACAUGCAAGUCGAACGGUAACGCGGGGCAACCUGGCGCCUAGUGGCGGACGGGCGAGUAAUGCAUCGGAACGUGCCCAGAAGUGGGGGGUAGCCCGGCGAAAGCCGGAUUAAUACCGCAUGAGACCUGAGGGUGACAGCGGGGGAUCGCAAGACCUCGCGCUCUUGGAGCGUCCGAUGUCAGAUUAGCUAGUUGGUGGGGUAAAGGCCUACCAAGGCGACGAUCUGUAGCUGGUCUGAGAGGACGACCAGCCACACUGGGACUGAGACACGGCCCAGACUCCUACGGGAGGCAGCAGUGGGGAAUUUUGGACAAUGGGCGCAAGCCUGAUCCAGCCAUGCCGCGUGCGGGAAGAAGGCCUUCGGGUUGUAAACCGCUUUUGUCAGGGAAGAAACGCGCUGGGCUAAUACCCUGGGGUAAUGACGGUACCUGAAGAAUAAGCACCGGCUAACUACGUG